UACGUAGGGUGCGAGCGUUGUCCGGAAUUAUUGGGCGUAAAGAGCUUGUAGGCGGUCUGUCGCGUCUGCUGUGAAAAUCCGGGGCUCAACCCCGGACUUGCAGUGGGUACGGGCAGACUAGAGUAUGGUAGGGGAGACUGGAAUUCCUGGUGUAGCGGUGAAAUGCGCAGAUAUCAGGAGGAACACCGAUGGCGAAGGCACGUCUCUGGGCCACUACUGACGCUGAGAAGCGAAAGCAUGGGGAGCGAACAGG
rnacentral:rRNA from 1 species